GAUGAACGCUGGCGGCGUGCCUAAUACAUGCAAGUCGAGCGAACAGACGAGGAGCUUGCUCCUCUGACGUUAGCGGCGGACGGGUGAGUAACACGUGGAUAACCUACCUAUAAGACUGGGAUAACUUCGGGAAACCGGAGCUAAUACCGGAUAAUAUAUUGAACCGCAUGGUUCAAUAGUGAAAGACGGUUUUGCUGUCACUUAUAGAUGGAUCCGCGCCGCAUCAGCUAGUUGGUAAGGUAACGGCUUACCGAGGCAACGAUGCGUAGCCGACCUGAGAGGGUGAUCGGCCACACUGGAACUGAGACACGGUCCAGACUCCUACGGGAGGCAGCAGUAGGGAAUCUUCCGCAAUGGGCGAAAGCCUGACGGAGCAACGCCGCGUGAGUGAUGAAGGUCUUCGGAUCGUAAAACUCUGUUAUUAGGGAAGAACAAAUGUGUAAGUAACUAUGCACGUCUUGACGGUACCUAAUCAGAAAGCCACGGCUAACUACGUG
rnacentral:rRNA from 1 species